rnacentral:rRNA from 1 species
UUUCAGCAACGGAUCUCUUGGCUCUCCCAUCGAUGAAGAACGCAGCGAAAUGCGAUAAGUAAUGUGAAUUGCAGAAUUCAGUGAAUCAUCGAAUCUUUGAACGCACCUUGCGCCCUUUGGUAUUCCGAAGGGCAUGCCUGUUUGAGUGUCAUUAAAUUC